CGUUAAAACACCGGUUCCCGUACAAUCACCGAAGUUAAGCAACGUCGCGCCUGGUCAGUACCGAGAUGGAUGACUUCUUGGGUAUAUCAGGAGCUGUAAG